rnacentral:rRNA from 1 species
AGGAUUCCCCUAGUAACUGCGAGUGAAGCGGGAAGAGCUCAAAUUUGAAAUCCNGGCGGUUCUGCCGUCCGAGUUGUAAUCUGGAGAAGCGUUUUCCGUGCCGGACCGUGUACAAGUCCCUUGGAACAGGGCGUCAUAGAGGGUGAGAAUCCCGUCUUUGACACGGACUCCCGGUGCUCUGCGAUGCGCUCUCGAAGAGUCGAGUUGUUUGGGAAUGCAGCUCAAAAUGGGUGGUAAAUUCCAUCUAAAGCUAAAUAUUGGCGAGAGACCGAUAGCGAACAAGUACCGUGAGGGAAAGAUGAAAAGCACUUUGGAAAGAGAGUAAAACAGUACGUGAAAUUGUUGAAAGGGAAACGCUUGGAGUCAGUCGCGUCUUCCGGAACUCAGCCUUGCUUCUGCUAGGUGCACUUUCCGGUUCGACGGGUCAGCAUCGGCUUUGGGAGGCGGACAAAGGCGCGGGGAAGGUGGCAGCUCCGGCUGUGUUAUAGCCCCGCGUUGUACGCGUCUCUCGGGACCGAGGAAUCCGGCGCUCGUCGCCUGGGAUGCUGGCGUAAUGGCUUUAAGCGACCCGUCUUGAAACACGGACCAAGGAGUGCUACAUGCUCGCGAGUGUUUGGGUGGAAAACCCGAGCGCGCAAUGAAAGUGAAAGUCGAGACCCUUUGCGGGGGGCACCGACGCCCGAGCCUGAAGUUUACGGACGGCCUUGCGGUAGAGCGAGUAUGUUGCGACCCGAAAGAUGGUGAACUAUUCCUGAGGAGGGCGAAGCCAGAGGAAACUCUGGUGGAGGCUCGUAGCGGUUCUGACGUGCAAAUCGAUCGCAGGACUUGGGUAUAGGGGCGAAAGACUAAUCGAACCAUCUAGUAGCUGGUUCCUGCCGAAGUUUUCCCUC